UGUAAGUUGAAAAUCAGUGAGACGGCACGGUUUUGGAGAGGGAGAACCUUUCAUACGUUUCCUUAGGAGCAAGCUCCUCCCAGAUUCCUGCUGAUGCGCCUCAUGACAUUAUUUAUUGACGCUUCACAUAUGGAGAGAGCUGAGGAACCUUGAACAGUUAAUACAGCCUCUCUGGAGAACUCGACGAUGGAAAACCUCAACAGACAGAAGGAAACCGUAUUCAGCCUGGUGCAGGUGAAGGGGACGUGGAAACGCAAAGCAGGGCAAAAUGUGAAGCAAGGAAUAAAAGGACGAGUGUCAGCUGCCAAAAUUUACGAAAGCACCUCCUCUAGUGGCACCACCUGGACAGUGGUCACCCCCAUCACCUUCACAUAUACAGUUACUCAGACCAAAAACCUUCUUGACCCCAGCAAUGACACUCUGCUUUUGGGCCACAUCAGAGACAAUGAGCAGCUUGAGGCCGUACGGUCCAGCACCAAGCCCUUAAAACGGUUCAUAGUCAUGGAUGAGGUAGUAUACAAUCUCUAUGGUUCUCAGAUCACCGACUACCUCGAGGCCAGACACGUCCUGUACCAGAUCCUGCCCCUGCCCACGACGGAGGAGAACAAGUCCAUGGAAAUGGCCCUGAAGAUCCUGGAGGAAGUCCACCAGUUUGGCAUCGAUCGGCGCACUGAGCCCAUCAUCGCCAUCGGAGGUGGGGUCUGCCUGGAUAUCGUGGGUCUCGCAGCGUCCCUCUACAGAAGGCGCACUCCAUACAUUCGCGUUCCCACUACCCUUUUGUCAUACAUUGAUGCAAGCGUCGGAGCAAAGACGGGUGUUAAUUUCGCAAAUUGCAAGAAUAAGCUAGGCACCUACAUCGCACCUGUUGCUGCCUUUUUGGACAGGUCGUUUAUACAGACAAUUCCUCGCAGACACAUAUCUAAUGGUCUUGCAGAAAUGUUGAAGAUGGCUCUGAUGAAGCACAGAGGGCUGUUUGAACUUCUGGAAACGCAGGGGCAGUUCCUUUUAGACUCCAAGUUCCAAUCCGGGUUGGUUCUAGAAGACGACCGCAUUGACCCUGCUUCUGUUUCUACACGUGUCGCCAUAGAAACCAUGUUAGAAGAAUUGGCUCCAAACCUGUGGGAAGAUGAUCUAGACAGACUCGUUGACUUCGGUCACCUGAUCAGCCCAGAACUAGAGAUGAAAGUCCUACCAGCUUUACUCCACGGUGAGGCAGUAAAUAUCGAUAUGUCCUACAUGGUGUAUGUGGCGUGUGAGAUGGGGUUUCUCACAGAGCAGGAGAAGUUCAGGAUCGUCUGUUGCAUGCUGGGACUGGAGUUGCCGGUGUGGCAUCAAGACUGCACCUUUGCUUUGGUUCAGAAAUCUCUGUGUGACAGACUACAGCACUCCGGAGGGUUUGUGAGAAUGCCUUUACCAACANNCCUCGGAAGAGCAGAAAUCUUCAACGACACUGAUGAAGGCACUCUGUUCCAGGCGUACGAGAAGUGGUGCGAUGAACUGAGCACUGGUUCACUUCAAUGAGACUUCAGCCAAUGUUUACAUAUAGGGGAGCCUCUUAGCUUUAACAAUUUAUACGCAUGAAUAAAUGGAUAGAUUUUGUUUCCUUUUUAUUUUGUAUACAUUUAAGUGUUUUACAUUUAAAACAAUUGCUUCUCAUUACUAUAAUUGCCAUUUUUGUAAAUGGCUGUGAAUAGAAGAAGGCUGACUUGAUAUGUGAAGAUUUUUCUUUAGUUGUGUUUAAGGGUUUCUUUCCCAUCAUUUCAUAUUUGAUAAAGGGACAUUUAGGUUAAUAAUUAAAUCAUUUAUUAAAAUGUGAAAAAUUCUGCCUGAUGUGUUGGAUGUAAUGCAUGCAAGUUUAUAAUAAACAAUUUACUUAUUAACAACGUCUCUGUUAUGAUGAGAAAGAUGUAUUAUGUUUCACAGCAUCAUGAAAACCGUCACAAAUACCACAGAUAUGUGUGGAAAACAUGACACCAUUGGUCUGGUAUUCAAUAUAUGUCCUCUUGUGUUUAU
rnacentral:lncRNA from 1 species